UUCUUUUCUCUACCUCUGCAUCCCGCUACUGCUCACAUGACAAAUGCAAAUAUGGAAAUGUCCAUAAGUGUGCAUCAUUAUCAGCUCAGACAGCUUCGGACUGAUAAGAUGCCUCUGUCUCCGCUCUUCCGAGGCAGGGCCUGUCCGCAUAUACAACCGGUUGUAAACACUUUGUCAUUCGCCCUCGUUCUGGUCGUACCGUACCCUCUUCGAGGAACUUCUCGUUCGCAGUUUGAUUUGAAUGAUUUAGUGCCCAAAUGUGGAAGAUGUCGUCGUUAAUUUAUGAAUCCUUCGGCGGUUUCGGGGCGAGGACCCAGUUUUGGAUACAAGAGCCGUUACAAAGUGUUAGGAUUUUAAUGGACUCUCGUUUACGUAAGAGGGUCGUUGUCGGAAAUGUCAGCGCAAUAACCCUUCCCUAUAUAUUUAUAAUCUAACUUCUUAUCGAUAUGUGAGUGCGCUUGUCUAGGCUUAAAUCUGUGUCUGCGCGUGCGCAUACUGUGUGACUGCAACGAAAAGGAUAGAAACAGCCCAUAGCCAUGGUAAUGCUGCUGACACACGUUACAUUUUCAACGAACUCACAUGAAAAUCCUCGAAAAGGAAGGAACUCGAAAAAGGUGGAAUGCCGAAGUGUGUAUGGGAAUGUGUGGACAGAAGAUGCUUGACCAGAAGUUUGGUGGAUUCUGUUUUUCUUUGUUUGCAAACUUUUUUUCCAGUUCAAGGUUAAUUUUCGAUCGAUUUUCAUUUUAAGCUAAUUACUUAUGCGAUUAUAGUUCUUAGACUCCG